CAGCCGCCACGGGAAUACAGAGGGUGCAAGCGUUAAUCGGAUUUACUGGGCGUAAAGCGUGCGUAGGCGGCUUUUUAAGUCGGAUGUGAAAUCCCUGAGCUUAACUUAGGAAUUGCAUUCGAUACUGGGAAGCUAGAGUAUGGGAGAGGAUGGUAGAAUUCCAGGUGUAGCGGUGAAAUGCGUAGAGAUCUGGAGGAAUACCGAUGGCGAAGGCAGCCAUCUGGCCUAAUACUGACGCUGAGGUACGAAAGCAUGGGGAGCAAACAGGAUUAGAUACCCCAGUAGUCCCUGUCUCUUAUAC
rnacentral:rRNA from 1 species